UACGAAGGGGGCUAGCGUUGCUCGGAAUUACUGGGCGUAAAGGCGCGUAGCGGUAUGACGGUCUUUAAGGUCGGGGAUCGAAUCGAGGCUCAACUCCAGAACUGCCUUGAUACUGGAGAUCUUGAGUCGGGAGAGGUGAGUGGAACUGCGAGUGUAGAGGUGAAAUUCGUAGAUAUUCGCAAGAACACCAGUGGCGAAGGCGGCUCACUGGCCCGGUACUGACGCUGAGGCACGAAAGCGUGGGGAGCAAACAGG
rnacentral:rRNA from 1 species